rnacentral:sRNA from 1 species
AUGGGUGAGGAUGGAAAUACAAGCACCUUCAACAUCUCCUGCACCAACUUCUUCCUGGUGGGUUUCCCUGGACUUCACGCGUGGUGGCCCCUUCUGGUCCUGCCUCUUGCCUUCCUCUAUGUGACUAUCAUCUCUGCCAAUGCCCUGGUCAUUCACACAGUGGUUGCCCAGCAAAAUCUGCGUCAGCCUACGUAUAUGCUCAUCACUGUGCUCCUGGCUGUCAACAUUCGUGCUGCCACAGCCGUGAUGCCUAAAAUGCUGGAGGCUUUGUAUAUUAUGCUAACCCCAUAUCGCUGCAUGGCCGCCUGGCCUAGGUGUUCUUUAUCUACUUCACCUUCCUCCUGGACUACAACUUCCUCUGGCCAUGGCCCUGGACUGCUACGUGGCCAUCUGCCACCCACUCUGCUAUUCUGACCUGAUGACCUCCCAGCUGCUGGGACUGCUAGCCAUUCUUGCCUUGACACAGAGCCUGGGAGUGGCAGUGCCCUUGGUGGUGCUAACUGCAAAAGCCCGAUUCUGCCGGACAGCAGUGAUUCAACACUUCACCUGUGAGUACAUUGCACUGCUGAGCAUAGCUUGUGGAGACCUGACCUUCAACAACUGGCUAGGGCUGGCUAUGUGGUUGGUCACUGUAACCUCUGAUCUGGCCCUGCUGGGGACCUCCUACACCCACAUCAUCUAUGCUGCCUUUCGGAUCUCUUCUUGGGGAGCCCAAGCCAAGGCCUUACACACGUGUGGCUCCCACUUACUGGUCAUCCUCUCCAUCUACCUCUGGUCUUUCCACUUCCAUCACCUUCUGAGUAGCCAAGACUGUGUCCCAGGAUGUCCAGAAUCUACUCAGUGCCAUAUACUUGCUGCUUCCAGGAGCCUUGAAUCCUGUCAUUUAUGGGGUGAGGACUAGGGAGAUCCAGCAACAUGUAGAAAAGAUGCUCUGUGGAAAGGAAACAGCCCAGAAGGCUGGGGAGAAGCCAAAGAGGCUGCAGAACAUGAGACUGGAAACUGCCAUGGUGA